GAAGACAGAAAAACCUAUCUUUAUUAUUAUUAAUUUGUGCACCCGUUUUAAGUUUCAUAUAAUACUUGUAAGAUAGUGAAAAUGAUUUUAAAAAAAUUAAAAUAUAAGUAAUAUAUAUAUUAUAAGUUUACCUUUGUGUUAUUAAUUAAUUUCAUUUCCCAUUUCACUCUUGUUUCGAAAAAUGUCACUCGUAUACACUCUCGAAGAAAAAGUAAUUUAAUCUAUAAAGAAUGAAGCUCUUAAUGCAUCACCAACUGAAUCCUGUUCGCGCUUUUAUUUAGAGACCUGCCGGGACGAUUGUAAUUCUUUUCACGGCAUUUAUUAUCGUAGCAGCACGAAGACACCGAAGGAAGAAACAACUUCAGCGUACCCAGCAAAAAGACGUUAAAACGUGGAUUACCAUAAAGAUACGCAGGGCCAGAACCGCGGGACGCAUUACGCGAGGAAUUAGGGGAGGGAAGCAUAACAAUUAGUCGCGGCUCUUUAUGGCGCACACGCUGCUGCUUCCGCGACAAUCAUUUUCAUAAUCCGACCGUCGGCUGCGCCUUCAUCGCGGGCCGCGCAUUAAAUCGUCAGUUUUGUCUUGGGAGGCUCGCUGCUUCGUAUCUUCGCGGCAUCGCGAAAAAGUCGUUUAAGUGCCGCUUUCAUCGCCAGAAGCUGUUGCAUAAAGGACAAACUCUCGUUGCAUCCGCCAUAAUCUCUCGUAAGUUUGUAUACAAGACGCUCUAAUUAAAGUGCUUACUGUCGCUCGUCGGGGCAACAGAAAAUAUGGCAUAAAAACCAAUAUAAGAGCGAGAAAAUGGCAAACUUUAAACGGGAUUUAUUAAAUUAUUAAAGCAUUAAAAUAUCCACUUUUUCAGGUCAGAAGUUCUACUUGGAAUUUCACUAAUAUGUAUUCAAUCUCAAAUGAAAAUAGAAUCGUGCCAUCAAGAGAUUAAAUUUCCCUCGAGAAAAAUUCAGCGCCAAAUUCCUUUGGCAGAAGUAGAACUCUGUUAUUGGUAUACUUCCUUUCUCAGAUCCACUCUACAGUUGACUUUCAGGUAAACUUCGCUAAUGGCAAGUUACCUUCAUAUCCACGUUAUCACAAAUAUUGCUCCGCGACUAAGGGAACGAUCGAACCAUAUAUUUUUUAAUUCAACGAUCCCAGAUUCUCAACUAUUAUGAAGCGCAUCGAUGUAUUAACGCGAUGGGGGGAAAAUCCGCAGUUUAUUAGUUCGACGAUCGCGCUUCUUUCGGCAACAAUUUUCCCGAGCAACAACGACCCGUGCGCCGCCGAGACGGAAAAAUAGUUCGCAUAAUUUCCCAGUUAUUUUCUCGAGGCUACAACUUUACGUUGCGCGAACGUUUAUUUUCAUAACGAUUAUACGCGCGCGAUUAUAUGUACCCUUUGCGAGUCGCGUGCGUCCGCGCCAAGGGAGGAGGGGGAAGAGGAGGAAGUAAAUUCCGCGAUUUUUACCGAGCUUCCGCAACGAGAGCUUUAUCGCAUUGAAGAGCAACGCACGCGUCUUGGGGAGAAAGGAGGGUGGAAACACGGCUUCGACGGUGUGCUCUUUAGCUUUUAUAUAACCGCCCAUAACAUCGCCCCCGUAUGCACGGCGAAACGAUGCGUUGGCUUCGCUGAAUGCCGUGCCCGUGCCCACGUACCACGGGAAAACUGGAUCCAGCAAUGUACAUACGAGAGAGAGAGAGAGAGGGAGAGAGAGAGAGAGAGAGGUGCGCGCCAAGGUACAUAGUCUAUUCAUGCGCGAAGUCUUCUACCGAGAGAAGCGAGCGCGGGGCUAGAAAAGUGAGAAGGUGUCGCCUGUACACGGGUAUCUAUUCCCGGCUUAACCGUGCCGCUUCCCAAGACCGAGGUCUAUAUACUACAAGAAAUCGCCGAGGAAAUAACGCGAAAGUUUAUCCCUUUCAUUCACUCACGCGGCAAAGUCAAAUGGAAUGGGUGAGCCGGUGGGAGCGGUUAAAAAAAAAAUUAUAUCUUCUAGAAAUAUGAAGGAAAAUGUAUUUUAGGGAACAGUAUUUUUCCACGAAUAUCCUUUAAUUAUAAAUACUUUAGAAAAUGAGAUAUGAUGAUAAAGUAUUAUAUAUUUAUCUAAGAGAAUUCAAAACUGUUACCCUUUUUUAAAGUACAGAUUUUAAUCCAUUUAUCUUUUCUCGGAGCUAACUUUCUUCUUCUAUGUAUGUAGAUCUUUUUAUAAAGAUCGAGCGAAGGUUGAUGAUCUCAUAACGUAACCGAUCCGAUAAUGAGACGUAAUUAAUCACCUUACGGAAUUUUUAGCGCUCCGUCCGGCUUUUUAUAAUCCAUUCCGCAGAAUGCGAGGCAAAAUAUACGUAGAACGAAUAUAUAUCGCGGUCCAAUCCUUUCGCGGACAAUGCCGGGACGUAAUUCGCGAAAGACGAACGGCGGAAUUUCCUUCGCGGGGUAAACCGGCGACUCGGCCGCGAUAUGGCCAAUAAAUUCGCCUGAUCGCGCUGGCGGCGCGGAAAGGGGGAGGAAAAUCGCAAUAUACAAUACUCCAGUGAAAUGGCCACCGAAGUGGAGGUCGCCGCUGCGACGAGAACGACGGCGUGUGCGCUGCACGGAAACUUCUUCUUUCUUCUCCUCUCCUCGGCUAUUAUCUUGCCAGUUUGUACCAGGUGCACCGGGGUAGAAACACCAUCGUCGUGCGGGGAACGGCAAAAGGGUGCUGCACGGGCGCUUGGUACGACGACAACGACGACGAGGACAACGACGACGACGACGACGACGAGGGAUGGAGGGAAUCGCACGGCGCACUCCUGCUUUACAUUUUAUUGCCCGACGUGGAUUCGACCGAUUUACAUAAAGAGACGAACGCUGUAGUUACAUUGGCGGACUGUGAAAGCGAGCGAAGGAGAGAAGGAGGAAGGGCGGAGGGGGUAGGCGGAGGUGGAGAUCGAGGGAUGUUUCUCGUGUCUCCUACCAGCUCUGAGAGGAGCUGCGUGCCGUUUGUCGCCCAGGACGAGAAAUUUGCGAUGCAGGAGACUGAUACUCUCCGGAAUUGCUGGAACGUAGGACGGCAGCGGAUAUUGUGCGUCCGACGCGACGGAAUGCACAGUCGUACGAUAACAGCGAGUUGUGGCGCAAUGAAAUAAGUGGCCUGUGACUUGCGGCAAUCGCGAUCGAUGAAAGUUUACGUAAUUGUACGUACGUGCAUGGCGCGUAAUUGACUCUGGUCGAUAUCAUGCGUGUGUAUUAUAUUUUAAGUGUUUUCUACUUGUAAAAGAUUUGAAAUAAAAUUUGUCUUGAUGCGA